AUUGAACGCUGGCGGCAUGCCUUACACAUGCAAGUCGAACGGUAACGCGGGGCAACCUGGCGACGAGUGGCGAACGGGUGAGUAAUGCAUCGGAACGUGCCCGGUAGUGGGGGAUAACUGCUCGAAAGAGCAGCUAAUACCGCAUACGACCUGAGGGUGAAAGGGGGGGAUCGCAAGACCUCUCGCUAUCGGAGCGGCCGAUGUCGGAUUAGCUAGUUGGUGGGGUAAAAGCCCACCAAGGCAACGAUCCGUAGCUGGUCUGAGAGGACGACCAGCCACACUGGGACUGAGACACGGCCCAGACUCCUACGGGAGGCAGCAGUGGGGAAUUUUGGACAAUGGGCGCAAGUCUGAUCCAGCCAUGCCGCGUGCGGGAAGAAGGCCUUCGGGUUGUAAACCGCUUUUGUCAGGGAAGAAAUCUUCUGAGUUAAUACCUCGGGAGGAUGACGGUACCUGAAGAAUAAGCACCGGCUAACUACGUGCCAGCCGCCGCCGUAAGAC
rnacentral:rRNA from 1 species